rnacentral:lncRNA from 1 species
UACGUCGUUGUAUUUGAUUUGUAGGGUCCGGGGAUAAAUUUUUUUGCAAGGAUUCUCUUGCACUGUAUUUGAUCGAACAAUUUCAUUAGCUGAACUUUUUGGAACCAUAGUCUUGUUCUUCUAUGGUGCAGUGAAACAACUUGGGUGAAAAAACAUCAAACAAUAAUGUACAAUUUAGAUGAACAUGACAUCGCAAUUUUAUGUUGUUCUUGUUUCAGCGUUUCUAGACUCUAGUAAAACAACAAAGAGCCACUCAAUAAUCAAUUGGUUCCAAUGAAAAAUAUGUGAUCCGUAAAAAAUGGCAUUUGACCCCGCCCCCCCUUUACCGUUAUUAUAGUAUCCUCGAUAAACCGAAAUAAGUCUACAUAUAAAAACCACCAUCCUGCUAGAUAUCAAAUAACUUGUGUAGGAAUCACUUUCAGUGAAAAACCUGUAUCGAUAAAAACAUUUUAACAACAAAAAAAAAUGCAAAGAAACUCUUGAACUUCAAGGUAACCACACAAAAAAAGAAUCUUUGCUGAAAAAAACCAUGACAUGUCAGCUACAUCGACCAAGUCAAAACAAACCGCCAGCGUCACACCCAUUAAACUCGCGUC